CAGGAGCAGGUAUGCUGACCCUUUUGGUGUUGGAGGUUCAGACUUGGACCCCUUUGCCCCUCCCGGACAUGGGAAUUUAUUUGAGCCUUUCCACAGAGACCCACUGAGGCCAUUCCCAGAUCCAGGACAAGGAAUUCCUGGGGGUCUUCCGAGAGGAGCAGUCCCACCUGGGGCAAGGUUUGAUCCUUUUGGACCUCCUGACGUAGGCCCUCGUCCAUCCAGGCCCCGUUUUCCCCCUGAUGCUGACCAUCUGCCUCCCCCAGGCUACGAUGAUAUGUUCAUGUAACCUAAGUCAACUAUUAUAUACUUGUAUUAUAACAUUUUACUCUAACUUAUAUUGUAAUGAAAUGUUUUGUAUCAAGAAAUAUGUUUCUUGUUAAAA